rnacentral:rRNA from 1 species
CAACCUGCCGUCUACUCUUGGACAGCCUUCUGAAAGGAAGAUUAAUACAAGAUGGCAUCAUGAGUCCGCAUGUUCACAUGAUUAAAGGUAUUCCGGUAGACGAUGGGGAUGCGUUCCAUUAGAUAGUAGGCGGGGUAACGGCCCACCUAGUCUUCGAUGGAUAGGGGUUCUGAGAGGAAGGUCCCCCACAUUGGAACUGAGACACGGUCCAAACUCCUACGGGAGGCAGCAGUGAGGAAUAUUGGUCAAUGGGCGAGAGCCUGAACCAGCCAAGUAGCGUGAAGGAUGACUGCCCUAUGGGUUGUAAACUUCUUUUAUAAAGGAAUAAAGUCGGGUAUGGAUACCCGUUUGCAUGUACUUUAUGAAUAAGGAUCGGCUAACUCCGUGCCAGCAGCCGCGGUAAUACGGAGGAUCCGAGCGUUAUCCGGAUUUAUUGGGUUUAAAGGGAGCGUAGAUGGAUGUUUAAGUCAGUUGUGAAAGUUUGCGGCUCAACCGUGAAAUUGCAGUUGAUACUGGAUGUCUUGAGUGCAGUUGAGGCAGGCGGAAUUCGUGGUGUAGCGGUGAAAUGCUUAGAUAUCACGAAGAACUCCGAUUG